UAGGAUAUAGCUCAGUGGUAGAGUACUUGCCUAGUAGGCACAAGGUCCUGGGUUCAAUUCCCAACACUGUAA
rnacentral:tRNA from 1 species